CGACAACCGCUCUUUGUCCGAGCUUCUACAAUAAGCGGACUCCUUUCAGACUCCUGCAAAAGUCAGACUCCAUUUAAACUUCUACAGCAGAAUUAAAUAUUGAAUCCUGGACUCCUCCGAUGUUCGACCUUCCACAGUGUCCUCAAGACUCCUCCAGCGGACAAACCUCCACAAUGCCAUCUAAACUCCACUGUCAGAUGACCCCC
rnacentral:lncRNA from 1 species